GACGAACGCUGGCGGCGUGCUUAACACAUGCAAGUCGAACGGAAAGGCCCUGCUUUUGUGGGGUGCUCGAGUGGCGAACGGGUGAGUAACACGUGAGUAACCUGCCCUUGACUUUGGGAUAACUUCAGGAAACUGGGGCUAAUACCGGAUAGGAGCUCCUGCUGCAUGGUGGGGGUUGGAAAGUUUCGGCGGUUGGGGAUGGACUCGCGGCUUAUCAGCUUGCUGGUGGGGUAGUGGCUUACCAAGGCUUUGACGGGUAGCCGGCCUGAGAGGGUGACCGGCCACAUUGGGACUGAGAUACGGCCCAGACUCCUACGGGAGGCAGCAGUGGGGAAUAUUGCACAAUGGGCGGAAGCCUGAUGCAGCAACGCCGCGUGCGGGAUGACGGCCUUCGGGUUGUAAACCGCUUUCGCCUGUGACGAGGCGUGAGUGACGGUAAUGGGUAAAGAAGCACCGGCUAACUACGUG
rnacentral:rRNA from 1 species